rnacentral:rRNA from 1 species
CAAUAGCGUAUAUUAAAGUUGUUGCAGUUAAAAAGCUCGUAGUUGGAUUUCGGGAUGGCCCGGCCGGUCUGCCGCAAGGUAUGUUACUGGCCGAGCUGUUCUUCUUCGCAAAGACUGUGUGUGCUCUUAACUGAGUGUGCUCAGGAUCUGUGACGUUUACUUUGAAAAAAUUAGAGUGUUCAAAGCAAGCCAGCGCUUGAAUACAUAAGCAUGGAAUAAUGGAAUAGGACUUUGGUUCUAUUUUGUUGGUUUCUGGAACCUUAGUAAUGAUUAAGAGAGACAGUUGGGGCAUUCGUAUUUCGUUGUCAGAGGUGAAAUUCUUGGAUUUACGAAAGACGAACUACUGCGAAAGCAUUUGCCAAGAAUGUUUUCAUUAA